rnacentral:rRNA from 1 species
UACGUAGGGCGCAAGCGUUAUCCGGAAUUAUUGGGCGUAAAGGGCUCGUAGGCGGUUUGUCGCGUCUGCCGUGAAAGUCCGGGGCUCAACUCCGGAUCUGCGGUGGGUACGGGCAGACUAGAGUGAUGUAGGGGAGACUGGAAUUCCUGGUGUAGCGGUGAAAUGCGCAGAUAUCAGGAAGAACACCUAUGGCGAAGGCAGCUCUCUGGGACGGUACUGACGCUGAGACGCGAAAGCGUGGGGAGCGAACAGG